rnacentral:rRNA from 1 species
GUGGGGAAUUUUGGACAAUGGGCGCAAGCCUGAUCCAGCCAUUCCGCGUGCAGGAUGAAGGCCUUCGGGUUGUAAACUGCUUUUGUUCGGAACGAAAAGCCUCUGGUUAAUACCCGGGGGUCAUGACGGUACCGUAAGAAUAAGCACCGGCUAACUACGUGCCAGCAGCCGCGGUAAUACGUAGGGUGCGAGCGUUAAUCGGAAUUACUGGGCGUAAAGCGUGCGCAGGCGGUGAUGUAAGACAGUUGUGAAAUCCCCGGGCUCAACCUGGGAACUGCAUCUGUGACUGCAUUGCUGGAGUGCGGCAGAGGGGGAUGGAAUUCCGCGUGUAGCAGUGAAAUGCGUAGAUAUGCGGAGGAACACCGAUGGCGAAGGCAAUCCCCUGGGCCUGCACUGACGCUCAUGCACGAAAGCGUGGGGAGCAAACAGGAUUAGAAACCCGAGUAGUCC